rnacentral:antisense_RNA from 1 species
UGUAACAGAUGCAAACUGUAACACAAGGGCCAUUAACCCUUUCUCUGCCGGGCACACUCAGUCCCCACGCCCCGCACCUAUUGUCUCCUGUGCUAGAAGCUUUGCAGAAAACCUGGAAAGUAUUUGCCAAGUCCUAAUUGCUGAAUAUAAUGAAUUGGAACUAGAUGCGAAAAUAGAGCAGGACCUCUCCCCUUGAUGAGUUUUUAUUCCAGCCAUAUAAUUCUCAAUAAAACUUUUCCUGGGCUGGAUAGCAAAGGGCACCUUUGGUUACCUGAAUGGACAGGUACAGGGGAAAUUAUUUGGGGGAGGGAAAAAGGAGAGAAAAGCAAGGAGAGAGAGUGUGAGUGUAAGAGAAGGCGAAGAAGCCACUCUUGAGAAAAGCUUGCCAUAAAGGAGCUAAACCCACCUGAAAUUCCUACCCACGGACACCCCUUCUCACUUCAGACUCACAUCCCCACUCAAAAUGAGAAAAUUAGAAAAGGAGGAUGGAGGACGAGCACACCAAAAAGGGAUAAAAAGAGAGAAAAGGGGAGGAAAAAAAACCUACCUGCGAAGUCUUGUUUGUAGUUUUGGCCAGAAAUGGUGAGAAGAAAAAGCAUGAAGAAGCCGCGAAGUGUGGGGGAGAAAAAGGUGGAAGCGAAGAAACAGCUCCCGGAGCAAACUGUACAAAAACCUCGCCAAGAGUGUCGGGAGGCAGGACCGUUAUUCCUGCAGAGCAGGAGAGAGACGAGAGACCCUGAAACACGCGCCACCUAUCUUUGUGGGGAGGGAUAAUUGAAGCGCCCUGAGCGUGAGCAUCAUGUGAAAACGUGAUCGCCAAGUUUCUCUCUGGGAAAGGAUCUGGGAUAGAUUAUACCUUGAAGUCUCCGCAAACGCUUUAGUGGAAGA